GCUUCUGUAGUGUAGUUCGGCCAAUCUUUCUUUAUUUCUACCCUGGUGACCCGGGUUCGAAUCCCGGCAGAAGCACCA
rnacentral:tRNA from 1 species